CUUAUAUUCAGAAUUGUCUUACAGUCAACUAAACAUGGUGCGUUAUUUGUGAAUUUAUCUCGUUUCAGCUUCUGGAGGGCACAGCAUCUUGUGGGCCUUGGUCUGCUAAGAAGGCUAAGGAGCCCUCUGAUACCAGAAGUCUUCUCUACAUAUGCCUACUUUUGUACAUAAAUAUUGGACUUUCUGAAGGCACAAGAAGCGUGUGAAUGUCUUGAUUUGAUCAUGUAGAACAGAAAUGUGAUAUUUUUUAUUUCUAAAACAUUUUUCAUGGAAAUCCUAUUUGAGAAAGCUAUUAAAGGGCUUCUGGUCCUUUGCCUGACUCUGGAAGGAAGACAAGCCUCUGAUGUCAUGACUAUGCUACUUCCAGCACUCUCUUGAGUUCCCCACUGAGAAGCCCACCCUGCUACCUGUUCUUCUUCUGCCUGAGCCAAAACCAGAAAUAAGGGAGUGAAGCUAUUUUGGGGCACCCCCCAGUCUUAAGUUCUCCCCCAUUGCCGCUCUUGAGGUAAGCUGAAAGACAGUGGUGGGGAGUACCCUCCUGAGGGCUUCAAUGCCUCAUUUCUUGGUUUGAUA
rnacentral:lncRNA from 1 species